AUUAAAGGAGGAUCUGGUAGGUGCAAAGCUUUCUGCUAACACCUUCAGCACUUUGCAUUCUUUAUUUUCUCAUUUAUCUCUUGGCAUUUUGUUGUUGCCCGUAUCCCCACGACCCACGAAUCCAGAGAGUCUCGCUCUGUUGCCAGGCUGGAGUACAGUGACGCAACCUCAGCUCACUGCAACCUCUGCCUCCUGGGUUCAAGCAAUUCUCCUGCUUCGGGAAGGAAGGAAGGAAGGAAGGAAGGAAGGAAGGAAGGAAGGAAGGAAAAGAAAGAAAAGAAAGAAAGAAAGAAAGAAAGAAAGAAAGAAAGGAAAGAGAGAAAGAGAGAGAGGGAAGGAAGAGAGAGAAGGAAGGAAGGGAGGGAGAGAGAGAGACAGGAAGGAAGGAAGGAAGGAAAAGAAAAGAGAAAGAGAAAGAAAGAAAAGAAAGAAAGAAAGAAAGAAAGAAAGAAAGAAAGAAAGAAAGAAAGAAAGAAAGAUUGAUUGAUUUUAAGGAAUUGGAUCACACAGUUGUGGAGGCCAGCAGAUCCAAAGUCUGCAGAGUCCAGAG
rnacentral:lncRNA from 1 species